rnacentral:rRNA from 1 species
UACGUAGGGUGCGAGCGUUAAUCGGAAUUACUGGGCGUAAAGCGUGCGCAGGCGGUUUUGCAAGCCGGAUGUGAAAUCCCCGGGCUUAACCUGGGAAUGGCAUUUGGGACUGCAAGGCUCGAGUGCGGCAGAGGAGACUGGAAUUCCUGGUGUAGCAGUGAAAUGCGUAGAUAUCAGGAGGAAUACCGAUGGCGAAGGCAGGUCUCUGGGCUGACACUGACGCUCAUGCACGAAAGCGUGGGGAGCAAACAGG